UACAGAGGUCUCAAGCGUUGUUCGGAUUCAUUGGGCGUAAAGGGUGCGUAGGCGGCGCGGUAAGUCGGGUGUGAAAGCCCGGAGCUCAACUCCGGAACUGCCAUUGAAACUGUUAGACUUGAGGAUGAGAGAGGUGAGUGGAAUUCCCAGUGUAGAGGUGAAAUUCGUAGAUAUUGGGAAGAACACCGGUGGCGAAGGCGGCUCACUGGCUCAUUACCGAGCUCAGGCGCGAUAGCGUGGGGAUCAAACAGG
rnacentral:rRNA from 1 species